AUGAGCCACCUCUACUAGUGAUGUUACGUCUGACACAAAAGCCCCAAAGCCUGCAUCAAAUAAAGGGGGCGUGUCCAAAUGAAGCCUGAUGCGAAGUCCG